UCCUCAGUAGCUCAGCUGGUUAGAGCACCUGACUGUUAAUCAGGGGGUCGCUGGUUCGAGCCCAGCCUGGGGAG
rnacentral:tRNA from 1 species